AAAACUUUAAGUUAAAUAAACUAUUAACCUUCAAAGUUAAAAAUAAGUCAAUUUAAGUUUU
rnacentral:tRNA from 1 species